rnacentral:lncRNA from 1 species
AUAAAUGCCCAUGACACUGAUAGUCAAUGUUGAGUUCCUUAGGAAAAGUAGGACUUAAAAGCUACACAUCAGAAGACUGACUGUAAGAUAAAUCAGUGAGGGAUUCAUGGAUGUCUGAACUAGUUUGUGAAGAACUGUAGGAUAUUGACUGCAGGGACGGCAAAUGCAGACACAAGGAGGCAGAAUCAUAUGCAGCAUAUUCAGGAAGGGUGUAUAACUUUUGGGGUGGCUGUAAAGCAAUAUGAAACAAUAUAUCAUCAAUCAGAAGGCUGACAAAAUGGUAUGAGCUUUGACAACCUUUCCUGCCAAUGCACCUGGUGAGAAGCUUCAGUCAAUUCUUAAAAAGAAACAAAGUCAUGUGGAUCUAAGACAUAGAAAGAGUGAGCCCUGACAAGAACGCUUAGACUUGGAAUUCUCGGGAAAAAAAUGCCCAGGAGUUCAUGACUUAGGCCAGGAUGAAAAAUCACUUUGGAGUCACAGAGAGUAGCCUGAUUUAGAAAGGUAGAGACAAUGGAACCAUGGAAUUACUUGGGAACCUUCCUGAAAAGGAUAUAGCACCUUGACUAAAUCACUGAGGAUUGCGUCCCUGAGAAAGGUGAGCAAAAGGCAAUUAAUCAUGCACAUUUAUGACCUGCAAUCUCCAAGAAGGCUUCAGGAUGUACCCAGUGGGAGAAUUCAUGGACUAGUAGGCAAAAUGCCAGCUCAGACAGGAAUACUUGAUACUCUGGUAUUUCUGGCUCUAGUAAAUAUUGCCCAAAUCACCAUAAAAAAAAGACAUUUAAGUGCACUGAUUUCGGGGGAGGGUAGACUGCAAAAGAGAUCAUUUUAGGGCUCUGUCACUUUCUCCCUCGCCUGUCCUCCCCUCAAAUAUCUUUGUUCUUUUAAAUCCUAUCCCGUCCUUAUUCCUUUUCCCUUUACUAUUUUCUACAACCUAAAAGUUGGCUCAGCCUAGAAAUAGUACCGGGUAGAAAAAUCUUAAUAGGGUAUAUGGUCAUGGGUAAAGAGAUGGUUGCAAAAUAUAUUGUUGGAAUGAGUUGGGGAUAGGAGCUGAAAUCGGGGAGAAGUCCCAUUACUCUGGUAACAAAAAACAUAUAAAGAGUGAGAGAAGGAAAAUCAAAUCACCAUUUAUUACAAAUACAUCUUCAAACUUGGUUCAAUAGUUGUCUCUAAAGCCACUAUGUUACAAGAUUUUGUUAAUGAUUUUAGUUUUUUCUAAGUUAAACAAGUAAUGCUUGUUCCUUGUAAAAAAAAUCAAAUAAUACAGAAGUCUAAAAAAAAUGUAAAACCUCCAAAACCUGAUUCCCUGGAAGGAAAAAUUGAUUACAACUCGGUACUUUUUUGGACUUGCAAAUUUUUACAUACAUGUAUUUUUUCAACGUAUAAUACAAAAUAUAUAAAGGGCCCCUUCUUUUAAAAAGAAUUACUUUAUUCUUUUGUAUGAAUAAGAUAAAAAUAAACAUACUCUCAGCAUACACUUUACUCUUACUCAUGAACAUCGUAAUUGUUCAUAUUUGAGGUAUAUAAAUUUGACAUUUAAUAGGCAACUCUCUACAAAUUAUUAUUUAUGAGUCAAAAUUUAGUUUAUUCAAAAAACGGUGACUAAAAAGCAUGAUAUCUGUUCUUAUGCAGCUUAAAUUCUAUUUGGAAAAUAAAGCCACGCCAAAGAAAUAUUAAAACAAAAAUAUCAGGAAUAAAUGCUAAUAAAAUAAUGAAAAUAUCAUAACGUGAAAGAGUGACUGUGUAUCUACUUUACAUUUUUAUGGUAUCUCUUUUAAGUCUUAUCCACCAAGAAAAAAACUAAAGUAUGAGUUUUAUACUGUAGUUUUGUACAAUUAAAUUCUCAAGAUUCAAAAAUACCUUCCAAAUGCUAGCAAUUAGGCGUAUAAACUCUCGUAGGCUUUGUGCAAUGGUAUCCUGUAAGGCCAGCUCUUUCUAAGUCAAUCACUAUGGGUCUGAUUGACCUUGGCAGUAUUACAGGGUCAUAUUUUUACAUGGCUGAGCUGUUCUUGAACAAUUUCUACAAUGUACUAGGUACAAAUAGUCUUUUCUUCAGCACAAGGCAUGCGUGUCUUAUCUUCUCACCCAUUCUUCUCCUCACUGCCACUCCACCCCACCUUUUCUUUCAUUACUUUUAUGAAAGAAAAACUAUUGUAGGACAUGUAAAGAAAACUCGUCCCCACGGGCUUUUUUUCUUUCAGCCUGCCCUUUCUUCAUGCUAUGUUAUAGUUGAAAUACUGCACUUGUGGACUCCUGGUUUAUUCUUAAGAUGGAUUUUAUUUGUGAGUUUAUCUGGUUGUUUUGUGGCUCCAAUAUCGCAAAGAAUAACCUCUUUUCAUUUUCAUCAGAGGAAGGACAAGAGCUGGAAAGGGAUGUGGUUCUAUCAGCAAUUCGCCUAGGAAAAAUUUCAAUGUUUUUCUAAACUGUUCUACAAAGGAAUUGCAAUGUCAUCACAAAAAAAGACUGAGAUUACAGUUCUUAACUAUCAAAUAUCUCCAAUAAAAUAUAAUUUUUAAAUAAAGAAAUAAGACCCAUUUCCAUGAAGGCAAUCUUUUAUUUCCUUUAUGCUUCAACCCAGCAUAGUGUGGGGCGGAGGGGAGAGGAGAAAAUAUUAAACUAGAAACCAAGGUUGUCAGGCAGGA